rnacentral:rRNA from 1 species
AAUAGCGGAGGAAAAGAAACCAACAGGGAUUGCCCUAGUAACGGCGAGUGAAGCGGCAACAGCUCAAAUUUGAAAUCUGGCUUCGGCCCGAGUUGUAAUUUGCAGAGGAAGCUUUAGGCGCGGCACCAUCUGAGUCCCCUGGAACGGGGCGCCACAGAGGGUGAGAGCCCCGUAUAGAUGGACGCCUAGCCUGUGUAAAGCUCCUUCGACGAGUCGAGUAGUUUGGGAAUGCUGCUCAAAAUGGGAGGUAAAUUUCUUCUAAAGCUAAAUAUUGGCCAGAGACCGAUAGCGCACAAGUAGAGUGAUCGAAAGAUGAAAAGCACUUUGAAAAGAGGGUUAAAUAGCACGUGAAAUUGUUGAAAGGGAAGCGCUUGUGACCAGACUUGCGCCGGGCGGAUCAUCCGGUGUUCUCACCGGUGCACUCCGCCCGGCUCAGGCCAGCAUCGGUUCUCGCGGGGGGAUAAAGGCCCUGGGAACGUAGCUCCUCCGGGAGUGUUAUAGCCCAGGGUGUAAUGCCCUCGCGGGGACCGAGGUUCGCGCAUCUGCAAGGAUGCUGCGUAAUACC